rnacentral:tRNA from 1 species
GCCUUCAUGGUGUAGUGGUCAGCACGCUCGACGAGUAACCGAGAGGUCCGUGGUUCGAUUCCCGGAGAAGGCG